GAUGAACGCUGGCGGCGUGCCUAAUACAUGCAAGUCGAGCGAACAGACGAGGAGCUUGCUCCUCUGACGUUAGCGGCGGACGGGUGAGUAACACGUGGAUAACCUACCUAUAAGACUGGGAUAACUUCGGGAAACCGGAGCUAAUACCGGAUAAUAUAUUGAACCGCAUGGUUCAAUAGUGAAAGACGGUGUUGCUGUCACUUAUAGAUGGAUCCGCGCCGCAUUAGCUAGUUGGUAAGGUAACGGCUUACCAAGGCAACGAUGCGUAGCCGACCUGAGAGGCUGAUCGGCCACACUGGAACUGGGCCACGGUCCAGGCUCCUACGGGACGCAGCAGUAGGGAAUCUUCCGCAAUGGGCGAAAGCCUGACGGAGCAACGCCGCGUGAGUGAUGAAGGUCUUCGGAUCGUAAAACUCUGUUAUUAGGGAAGAACAAAUGUGUAAGUAACUAUGCACGUCUUGACGGUACCUAAUCAGAAAGCCACGGCUAACUACGUG
rnacentral:rRNA from 1 species